UCUGUCUGUCUCUCAGAGAGUAGGUAGGUGCUGGUGGACUCCAGUAUGUAUCUGUCUGUCUGUCAGAGAGUAGGUAGGUGCUAGUGGACUCCAGUAUGUAUCUGUCUGUCUGUCAGAGAGUAGGUAGGUGCUGGUGGACUCCAGUAUGUAUCUGUCUGUCUGUCAGAGAGUAGGUAGGUGCUAGUGGACUCCAGUAUGUAUCUGUCUGUCUGUCAGAGAGUAGGUAGGUGCUAGUGGACUCCAGUAUGUAUCUGUCUGUCUGUCAGAGAGUAGGUAGGUGCUAGUGGACUCCAGUAUGUAUCUGUCUGUCUGUCAGAGAGUAGGUAGGUGCUAGUGGACUCCAGUAUGUAUCUGUCUGUCUGUCAGAGAGUAGGUAGGUGCUAGUGGACUCCAGUAUGUAUCUGUCUGUCUGUCAGAGAGUAGGUAGGUGCUAGUGGACUCCAGUAUGUAUCUGUCUGUCUGUCAGAGAGUAGGUAGGUGCUAGUGGACUCCAGUAUGUAUCUGUCUGUCUGUCAGAGAGUAGGUAGGUGCUAGUGGACUCCAGUAUGUAUCUGUCUGUCUGUCAGAGAGUAGGUAGGUGCUGGUGGACUCCAGUAUGUAUCUGUCUGUCUGUCAGAGAGUAGGUAGGUGCUGGUGGACUCCAGUAUGUAUCUGUCUGUCAGAGAGUAGGUAGGUGCUAGUGGACUCCAGUAUGUAUCUGUCUGUCUGUCAGAGAGUAGGUAGGUGCUAGUGGACUCCAGUAUGUAUCUGUCUGUCUGUCAGAGAGUAGGUAGGUGCUGGUGGACUCCAGUAUGUAUCUGUCUGUCUGUCAGAGAGUAGGUAGGUGCUAGUGGACUCCAGUAUGUAUCUGUCUGUCUGUCAGAGAGUAGGUAGGUGCUAGUGGACUCCAGUAUGUAUCUGUCUGUCUGUCAGAGAGUAGGUAGGUGCUAGUGGACUCCAGUAUGUAUCUGUCUGUCUGUCAGAGAGUAGGUAGGUGCUAGUGGACUCCAGUAUGUAUCUGUCUGUCUGUCAGAGAGUAGGUAGGUGCUAGUGGACUCCAGUAUGUAUCUGUCUGUCUGUCAGAGAGUAGGUAGGUGCUGGUGGACUCCAGUAUGUAUCUGUCUGUCUGUCAGAGAGUAGGUAGGUGCUAGUGGACUCCAGUAUGUAUCUGUCUGUCUGUCAGAGAGUAGGUAGGUGCUAGUGGACUCCAGUAUGUAUCUGUCUGUCUGUCAGAGAGUAGGUAGGUGCUAGUGGACUCCAGUAUGUAUCUGUCUGUCUGUCAGAGAGUAGGUAGGUGCUGGUGGACUCCAGUAUGUAUCUGUCUGUCUGUCAGAGAGUAGGUAGGUGCUAGUGGACUCCAGUAUGUAUCUGUCUGUCUGUCAGAGAGUAGGUAGGUGCUAGUGGACUCCAGUAUGUAUCUGUCUGUCUGUCAGAGAGUAGGUAGGUGCUAGUGGACUCCAGUAUGUAUCUGUCUGUCUGUCAGAGAGUAGGUAGGUGCUAGUGGACUCCAGUAUGUGUCUGUCUGUCAGAGAGUAGGUAGGUGCUAGUGGACUCCAGUAUGUAUCUGUCUGUCUGUCAGAGAGUAGGUAGGUGCUAGUGGACUCCAGUAUGUAUCUGUCUGUCUGUCAGAGAGUAGGUAGGUGCUAGUGGACUCCAGUAUGUAUCUGUCUGUCUGUCAGAGAGUAGGUAGGUGCUAGUGGACUCCAGUAUGUAUCUGUCUGUCUGUCAGAGAGUAGGUAGGUGCUAGUGGACUCCAGUAUGUGUCUGUCUGUCAGAGAGUAGGUAGGUGCUAGUGGACUCCAGUAUGUAUCUGUCUGUCUGUCAGAGAGUAGGUAGGUGCUAGUGGACUCCAGUAUGUAUCUGUCUGUCUGUCAGAGAGUAGGUAGGUGCUAGUGGACUCCAGUAUGUGUCUGUCUGUCAGAGAGUAGGUAGGUGCUAGUGGACUCCAGUAUGUAUCUGUCUGUCUGUCAGAGAGUAGGUAGGUGCUAGUGGACUCCAGUAUGUAUCUGUCUGUCUGUCAGAGAGUAGGUAGGUGCUGGUGGACUCCAGUAUGUAUCUGUCUGUCUGUCAGAGAGUAGGUAGGUGCUAGUGGACUCCAGUAUGUAUCUGUCUGUCUGUCAGAGAGUAGGUAGGUGCUAGUGGACUCCAGUAUGUAUCUGUCUGUCUGUCAGAGAGUAGGUAGGUGCUAGUGGACUCCAGUAUGUAUCUGUCUGUCUGUCAGAGAGUAGGUAGGUGCUAGUGGACUCCAGUAUUUAUCUGUCUGUCUGUCAGAGAGUAGGUAGGUGCUAGUGGACUCCAGUAUGUAUCUGUCUGUCUGUCAGAGAGUAGGUAGGUGCUGGUGGACUCCAGUAUGUAUCUGUCUGUCUGUCAGAGAGUAGGUAGGUGCUAGUGGACUCCAGUAUGUAUCUGUCUGUCUGUCAGAGAGUAG